GACGUAGGGUGCAAGCGUUGUCCGGAUUUACUGGGCGUAAAGCGCUCGUAGGCGGGACUGGAAGUCCGUGUUGAAAGACCUCGGCUCAACUGAGGGACCGGCGCGGAUACUCUAGUUCUUGAGGCAAUCAGAGGGUGAUGGAAUUCCCGGUGUAGCGGUGAAAUGCGCAGAUAUCGGGAAGAACACCCGUGGCGAAGGCGGCUCUCUGGGACGGUACUGACGCUGAGACGCGAAAGCGUGGGGAGCGAACAGG
rnacentral:rRNA from 1 species